rnacentral:rRNA from 1 species
CGUGUCCUACGGGGCGCAGCAGUGAGGAAUAUUGGUCAAUGGUCGGGAGACUGAACCAGCCACGCCGCGUGAGGGAUGAAGGUACAGAGUAUCGUAAACCUCUUUUGUCAGGGAACAAAGGCGGGGACGUGUCCCCGGAUGAGUGUACCUUAAGAAAAAGCAUCGGCUAACUUCGUGCCAGCAGCCGCGGUAAUACGGAGGAUGCGAGCGUUAUCCGGAUUUAUUGGGUUUAAAGGGUGCG